rnacentral:lncRNA from 1 species
GGAGGCUCUGGUGCCUAGGGAGUGGUUCCGGACUCUGGAGAAGAGGGCAUGGUAUCUAGAGAGCAGAAAGGUCUCCAGGAACCAUCUAAGGAUCUUUGAUUGUCCGAUUUUUACAUCAUCACUGAAAGAAAAGAAAGCCUUGUGGUUAUCAUAGGAACUGUCUCAUAUACCACAAAAAUCUACCAGCAAUAUAGGUGACUUGCUUUCUACAUGCCUUAACUGUGCCCUCUGUUGUAUCUACUAUGAUAAACCAGUAGCAAGGACAUUACUGUCGUGAGAAAUGGAGAACAUAACAGACUAAGGUGAUGGAAGGAAAGAGUCUUGUCAACAUCUUGGCCUUGCAGUCUCCAGCUUCCACACUGUCAAGAAAUGAGUAUCUAUUGUUUAAUCAAAAAAGUGUUUUCUGCUCUUAAGCAAAAGGACAAUGCUGUACUUACCUUCCAGCUGUCCCCUUCUCUGCCCUCAGACUGUGACAAUCAUGUUUUGACCACAAGAACAAGAUGUAAGACCCAAGGAGAGAGGGGGAGAGGGAGGAUGGCUCAUGGACACCAAAAUACGGACAGAAGUAAUAAAUUGUUCUGUUCUACAAAACAAUAGAAUAGGUGUCCCCACAGUAACUGCUGCCAUAGUCCAUAAAAGUCACUAGAAGGGAGAUGUUUGUUGGCUUCGAACACAAAGCAACAAUGACAGAAAGAGGAACAGCUCUGAUUUGAUUAGUGCCUGUGGUACAGACACAUGUAUUGAAAUGUCACUUGACCUGCUGGUCCAGCUCAGUGAGAGCCCAGUGCUUUUUACUUGAAGUCUGGAAAGCUGGCCGAUUUGUAUUGUUGACAAUGUUGGGGACAAAGAGUAGAUGAUGAAGAAUUAAAGACGUGGUUGCAUCAGAAUUGUAGUACUUGGAGACUUGUUAUUCCCUCUGAGUGUCCUACUUCCCUGCGGG